GCGAGAGUGGCGUAAUCGGUAGCCGCAAGAGACUUAAAAUCUCUCGUCCUAUGGGCGUACGGGUUCGAUUCCCGUCUCUCGCA
rnacentral:tRNA from 1 species